GGAAAAUAAAUCAAGUGACUUUCAAGGUUGAAGAAUGAAGUAAUGUGGCUGGGCGCAGUGGCUCACACCUAUAAUCCCAGCACUUUAAGAGGCCAAGGGGGCAGAUCACUUGAAGUCAGGAGUUCAAGCCCAGCCUGGCCAACAUGACAAAACCCAUCUCUAUUAAAAAAAAAAUUAGCCAGGUGGGCAUGGUGGCAUGUGCCUGUAAUUCUAGCUACUUAGGAGGCUGAGGCAUGAAAAUUGCUUGAACCCAGAAGGUGGAGGGUGCAGUGACCCAAGAGCCAAGAUUGCACCACUGCACUCCAGCCUGGGUGACAGAGUGAGACUCUGUCUCGAAAAAAAGGAAGAAAAAAAAAGCAGUGUGACGUUAAAAGUCUACUCAAAUAUGAUGCUUGUUCCCCUCCCGUUCUUCCACUCACAGAGAGGAAUCAGGCUUUGCUAUUGAAACCCAACCUGGCAACACAUCUCUGCCUCAGGAAAAGCUAGAGUACCAGUAAGAGGGAAAGGCAGAAACCAUUAAAAAGACCUAACAAUUCAGAAACAGACAUGGCAUCAAAAGAGCUACCACCAGGUUGACUGGAACUGCAGUACAGGCGCCAUGCUCCUUGUGCCUGUUUUUCAGAUUUAAAAUCUGGAUUAUAGACACCAAGCUUGAAAGGACAGACAUGAUAAAUAAGAUUUUCUGGUUUAAAGAAACAUUUAGUAUGAUAUAACAUUUCAGGUUAUCACUGAACAGCAUAAACAUCAAUCAAUAAAACCAUUAAAAUCCGUAUGACCUCCUCUGGAUGAAAUUCAAAUAGGAAUGAUGCUGUCACACAAAACCCAGACGGCUUUCAGUCAUGUCUAGGGAUCUUCUUCUACCUACUCAACAAGCAGACACCCUGCCCCUCCAAGGGACCCAGCAGGACUUUUCUGAGCACACACUCAAGAAGGCACGGAGAGGACCACGCAGCUGAGUGGGCAAGGGCAGGUGGCCCUCAGGUGGAAUCUGGACUCAAUGGCUUACUAGUUAUGGGAUGGUGGACAAUUCACCUGACCUCUCUAUGUCUCUGUUUCCUCAUCUACUGACUAAGAAGAAUUCUGCUCUCUGAGGCUGCUUGGGAGAUUACGUGAAGCAGCCUCUUAAAGCACCAAAGCAGUGUGCCUGGAACAUUGGGAGCGCGCCAAAUAAGGCAGUCCUCGCCACCCUCACUGCUGUUAAUGCGAGCCGGCAGGUGGAAAGUCUAAACCUAACCAAAUCUUCUAUCUCUCUCAACAAACUGUCUUAAGUCCAAACAUUCUGGAACAGCAGUAGUGAACCGUUUACUCUUCAGAGGCAAUAACAACUCACAAUUUUCUCAGGACACUAGAUUAGCUGAGUAACUAAAUCAUCAUUCAGUCCCUCAUUCAACAAAACAAACGCUCAUUGCUCCAAAGAGGCCAGCCAGAUUAGACCAUUUCAAACAUCUUUUAAUUGAACUGAACAUGAAGAACUGCAUUCUGCAAGAAACAGAUCAAAAUGGGAUCGUAAGAUCUAUUCCAUAUAUCUUCUCAAGGAAAAACGUUAACAAUAUCACACAUUUCAAACGUAUAUGUUCUUAGCAGGUGAACAUAAAAAAUCAUAUAACACUCUGUUAUAUAACUAAAAAGAAGUUACCCACGCAGCUUAGCUUUAGAAUUAAAUGAGAUUUAUUGAUUGUAUCUUCCCAAGAGUUACCAAUGGCUAAGGUACAGGCUAUAAAACAUUCAGACAAGAACAGGCUCAAGAGUAUUUGGG
rnacentral:lncRNA from 10 species